rnacentral:lncRNA from 1 species
GUUUUGUUAUUUGAUUUUGCCAUGUGAUUAUGGACUUUCCGAAUUGAUUUUCCUCUAAGUUCAGUAUUUUUGUGAUUUUACUUUUUGUUAUGCUCACACAUUGUUGCCAAUAUAAUGGAAAUCUAUGCUACUGUGAUGAAAGUGUGAGGUUAAAAUAUUUAUAAAACAAUGUGUUAUCCACCAUUAUUUUUUUCUGUGUAACGUAUACUGUGUACAUGUCAUACACAAAUUUGAAUUUUUCAAUUAUGGUUGUUUUGAGCCAACG